rnacentral:rRNA from 1 species
GAUGAACGCUGGCGGCGUGCCUAAUGCAUGCAAGUCGAGCGAACGGACGAGAAGCUUGCUUCUCUGAUGUUAGCGGCGGACGGGUGAGUAACACGUGGAUAACCUGCCUAUAAGACUGGGAUAACUUCGGGAAACCGUAGCUAAUACCGGAUAAUAUUUUGAACCGCAUGGUUCAAAAGUGAAAGACGGUCUUGCUGUCACUCAUAGAUGGAUCCGCGCUGCAUUAGCUAGUUGGUAAGGUAACGGCUUACCAAGGCAACGAUGCAUAGCCGACCUGAGAGGGUGAUCGGCCACACUGGAACUGAGACACGGUCCAGACUCCUACGGGAGGCAGCAGUAGGGAAUCUUCCGCAAUGGGCGAAAGCCUGACGGAGCAACGCCGCGUGAGUGAUGAAGGUCUUCGGAUCGUAAAACUCUGUUAUUAGGGAAGAACAUAUGUGUAAGUAACUGUGCACAUCUUGACGGUACCUAAUCAGAAAGCCACGGCUAACUACGUG